AUACGAAGGGGGCUAGCGUUGCUCGGAAUUACUGGGCGUAAAGGGCGCGUAGGCGGAUCGUUAAGUCAGGGGUGAAAUCCCGGGGCUCAACCUCGGAACUGCCCUUGAUACUGGCGAUCUUGAGUAUGAGAGAGGUAUGUGGAACUCCGAGUGUAGAGGUGAAAUUCGUAGAUAUUCGGAAGAACACCAGUGGCGAAGGCGACAUACUGGCUCAUUACUGACGCUGAGGCGCGAAAGCGUGGGGAGCAAACAGGAUUAGAUACCCUGGUAGUCCACGCCGUAAACGAUGAUUGCUAGUUGUCGGGCUGCAUGCAGUUCGGUGACGCAGCUAACGCAUUAAGCAAUCCGCCUGGGGAGUACGGUCGCAAGAUUAAA
rnacentral:rRNA from 1 species